GUGGGGAAUAUUGGACAAUGGGCGCAAGCCUGAUCCAGCCAUGCCGCGUGAGUGAUGAAGGCCUUAGGGUUGUAAAGCUCUUUCACCGAUGAAGAUAAUGACGGUACCCACAGAAGAAGCCCCGGCUAACUUCGUGCCAGUAGCCGCGGUAAUACGAAGGGGGCUAGCGUUGUUCGGAUUUACUGGGCGUAAAGCGCACGUAGGCGGAUCGUUAAGUCGAGGGUGAAAUCCUGGAGCUCAACUCCAGAACUGCCUUCGAUACUGGUGAUCUUGAGUCCGGAAGAGGUGAGUGGAACUCCUAGUGUAGAGGUGGAAUUCGUAGAUAUUAGGAAGAACACCAGUGGCGAAGGCGGCUCACUGGUCCGGUACUGACGCUGAGGUGCGAAAGCGUGGGGAGCAAACAGGAUUAGAAACCCGUGUAGUCC
rnacentral:rRNA from 1 species